GAUGAACGCUGGCGACGUGCUUAACACAUGCAAGCCGAACGGUGAUCUAUCAGCUUGCUGGUGGUGAUCAGUGGCGAACGGGUGAGUAACACGUGAGUAACCUGCCCCUGACUCUGGAAUAACCCCGGGAAACCGGGGCUAAUACCGGAUACGACACCAAUCCGCAUGGGUAUGGUGUGGAAAGUUUUUUCGGUUGGGGAUGGGCUCGCGGCCUAUCAGCUUGUUGGUGAGGUAGUGGCUCACCAAGGCGACGACGGGUAGCCGGCCUGAGAGGGCGACCGGCCACACUGGGACUGAGACACGGCCCAGACUCCUACGGGAGGCAGCAGUGGGGAAUAUUGCACAAUGGGCGGAAGCCUGAUGCAGCGACGCCGCGUGAGGGAUGACGGCCUUCGGGUUGUAAACCUCUUUCAGCUCUGAAGAAGCGAAAGUGACGGUAGGAGCAGAAGAAGCACCGGCUAACUACGUGCCAGCAGCCGCCGUAAAAC
rnacentral:rRNA from 1 species